GAUGAAGAACGUAGCGAAAUGCGAUAAGUAAUAUGAAUUGCAGAAUUCAGUGAAUCAUCGAAUCUUUGAACGCACAUUGCGCCCGUCAGUAUUCUGGCGGGCAUGCCUGUUCGAGCGUCAUUACGCCCCUCAAGUCCCCUGUGGACUUGGUGUUGGGGAUCGGCGAGGCUGGUUUUCCAGCACAGCCGUCCCUUAAAUUAAUUGGCGGUCUCGCCGUGGCCCUCCUCUGCGCAGUAGUAAAACACUCGCAACAGGAGCCCGGCGCGGUCCACUGCCGUAAAACCCCCCAACUUUUUAUAGUUGACCUCGAAUCAGGUAGGACUACCCGCUGAACUUAAGCAUAUCAAUAAGCGGAGGA
rnacentral:misc_RNA from 1 species